AUUGAACGCUGGCGGCAGGCCUAACACAUGCAAGUCGAGCGGUAGCACAGAGAGCUUGCUCUCGGGUGACGAGCGGCGGACGGGUGAGUAAUGUCUGGGAAACUGCCUGAUGGAGGGGGAUAACUACUGGAAACGGUAGCUAAUACCGCAUAACGUCGCAAGACCAAAGAGGGGGACCUUCGGGCCUCUUGCCAUCAGAUGUGCCCAGAUGGGAUUAGCUAGUAGGUGGGGUAACGGCUCACCUAGGCGACGAUCCCUAGCUGGUCUGAGAGGAUGACCGGCCACACUGGAACUGCGACACGGUCCAGACUCCUACGGGAGGCAGCAGUGGGGAAUAUUGCACAAUGGGCGCAAGCCUGAUGCAGCCAUGCCGCGUGUAUGAAGAAGGCCUUCGGGUUGUAAAGUACUUUCAGCGGGGAGGAAGGUGUUGAGGUUAAUAACCUCAGCAAUUGACGUUACCCGCAGAAGAAGCACCGGCUAACUCCGUGCCAGCCGCCGCCGUAA
rnacentral:rRNA from 1 species